rnacentral:tRNA from 2 species
CGGGGUGUGGCUCAGGUGGUAGAGCGCUUGGUUCGGGACCAAGAGGCCGCAAGUUCAAGUCUUGUCACUCCGACCA